rnacentral:lncRNA from 1 species
GACGUAAUAAAAAAACGUACUGAAAUUUAUUAGAACAAAAUCAGGCAAUCAAAUUGCGAGAAAUUAUUCUAAAUCAGGAUAAUAUGCUUUAAUCACCUGGUGUAAGAAGGUAUGUGUCAAAAAACUUAUAACUUGUACAAAAACCCUGUACAAAACAUAAUUUGUACAAACUAACAUUUAUUACACAACAUAUUUAUUUUCAUAUAUUUCGUAGGUUAAAAUGUUACCUUUUACCAUAUUGUUCAGUUGUUUGGGUAUUGUGUUCUGUGACGUAAUAAUGGAGACCUCCCAUGUAGCUCACAGAAAAACAUACUCCCUUUACAGUGUUUUAAGUUUUGACAUAUUGUGACCUAUUUCAAUCAGUUUUAUUUGUCAAGAGAUGAUAUUCUGCAGACAAAGCGGCAUAACUCAGACCGAAAUAUAAACGAAAUCUAUUUGUUGUUCACUAAUGCAUGGCAGAUUAAAAUUUUGUUUCCGGUAACUGAUUGAAAAAAAUAGAUAUAUGCUUAUAGUCAAAUUGUAUUUUUGAUACAGAUAACUAUAAAUUCACGGACGCCAUAACGAGUUGGUUGACUUGGUUAUGGGGGGGGGGGGGGGUGUGCUUUAUAACUUGCUGUUCGGUGUGAGUCAAUGCUCCGUGUUGAAGACCGUACUUUGACCUAUAAUGGUUUUCUCACACCAUAUCUUAUUAUUAUUAUAUCUAUUUGUUUAUUAGAUAAGGCCUGUUUCUCAGAUAAUGUAGUAAUAUGUCAACUAUUUGUGUGGUAAGGAAGGAUAAGAUGUUUUUGUUAAAAAAUACACGGUUCAUCUUAUCUUGACUUUAAUUUGUAAAUCAGUGAUAAAAUUAAGUUUCCUGCAAGGUCUGUUUUCAAAUACUAUAUGCAAUAGGUCAACUAUAUAUAAUAAUGUAUCCAAAUGACAUUUGUUAAAAAACAGAGUAUGUUUUGUUGUAAAUGCAAUUAAUUUCUGUUUCAGUGACCGCUAGAAAUAUCCAGGCAACUCCAGGAGCCCAACCAUCUGGUGGUCAUUUGCCAAUACUGACCGGUACCAGGAAACGUUGUCAAUAUUGUUGGAUGAACAAGAUCAAGACAAAAAGAGGAUGGGAUAUCUUCAGUGCUUACAAGUGUAGCCAAUGUGAUGUUUCAUUGUGUUACACCUACCGAAAUUGUUUUGAAGUUUUUCAUACGAUUUUCAAAGAUAAAAUCAAUGACAGUGAAUGGAUCGCACAAUUUCACCGAAUGUAGCCAAC